rnacentral:lncRNA from 1 species
GAGACUUACUCGCCUGUAGUAGAAGGAGUAAACGUGUUGCUAUGGGUUUUAGGGUUUGGGAUGCUCGAGGGCAAACAGGCAGUCCUUGACGAAGGAACCGCGCUACAUAUGGGGAUACGAAUACAAAACACAAAACAGGUAUCUCAAAGUAAAAUGCCACCAAGGGGCUCAAACAUUGCCUCCUAUCGAGGUCUUCCAGCUAAGAAAGCGAUAAAGUACGAGAAAAGGGAAAAAAU